rnacentral:rRNA from 1 species
UACGAAGGGUGCGAGCGUUGUUCGGAAUUAUUGGGCGUAAAGGGUUCGUAGGCGGGAGAGCAAGUUGAGUGUGAAAACCCCGGGCUUAACCUGGGACGUGCACUCAAGACUGUUUUUCUUGAGUAUGGGAGAGGGUGGUGGAAUUGCUGGUGUAGGAGUGACAUCCGUAGAGAUCAGCAGGAACGCCGGAGGCGAAAGCGACCACCUGGUCCAAAACUGACGCUGAGGAACGAAAGCGUGGGGAGCAAACAGG